rnacentral:rRNA from 1 species
AGAGUUUGAUUCUGGCUCAGAACGAACGUUGGCAGCGUGGAUUAGGCAUGCAAGUCGAACGAGAAGCCAUUGAUCAAUCCUUCGGGAGAGUGAUGUGGUGGAGAGUGGCGUAAGGGUGAGUAACGCGUGGGCAAUCUGCCUCCGAGUUGGGGAUAACCCCGCGAAAGCGGGGCUAAUACCGAAUAUGGUCUUCCGGCGCAUGUCGGGAUGACCAAAGGUGGGGAUCUUCGGACCUGCCGCUUGGAGAGGAGCCCGCGUCCUAUCAGCUUGUUGGUGAGGUAACGGCUCACCAAGGCUUACGGGUAGCUGGUCUGAGAGGAUGAUCAGCCACACUGGGACUGAGACACUGCCCAGACUCCUACGGGAGGCUGCAGUCGAGGAUCAUUUGCAAUGCGCGAAAGCGUGACAAUGCGACGCUGCGUGGGGGAUGAAGGCCUUCGGGUCGUAAACCCCUGUCAUGAGGGAGCAAAAGCUCAUCCUGAAUAGGGGUGAGUGUUGAUAGUACCUCAAGAGGAAGUCACGGCUAACUCUGUGCCAGCAGCCGCGGUAAUACAGAGGUGGCUAACGUUGUUCGGAUUUACUGGGCGUAAAGGGUGCGUAGGUGGGUUCGUGUGUUGGAUGUGAAAUCCCGCCGCUCAACGGCGGAACUGCAUACAAAACUGCGGAUCUUGAGUGCAUGAGGGGAGAGCGGAAUUCUUGGUGUAGCGGUGAAAUGCGUUGAUAUCAAGAAGAACACCGGUGGCGAAGGCGGCUCUCUGGCAUGCAACUGACACUGAGGCACGAAAGCUAGGGGAGCGAACAGGAUUAGAUACCCUGGUAGUCCUAGCCGUAAACGGUGUGAACUUGGUGUGGGAGGAUUUGACCCCUCCCGUGCCGGAGCUAACGCGUUAAGUUCACCGCCUGGGGAGUACGGCCGCAAGGCUAAAACUCAAAGAAAUUGACGGGGGCCCGCACAAGCGGAGGAGCAUGUGGCUUAAUUCGAUGCAACGCGAAGAACCUUACCAGGGUUUGACAUGCAGCUGCAUACUUCCUGAAAGGGGAGUAGCCUUCGAGGGUGCUGCACAGGUGCUGCAUGGCUGUCGUCAGUUCGUGCCGUGAGGUGUUGGGUUAAGUCCCGCAACGAACGCAACCCCUGUGUCUAGUUGCUAAGGUAGCUUCGGUUACCUGCACUCUAUACAGACUGCCUGUACAAGCAGGAGGAAGGUGGGGACGACGUCAAGUCCGUAUGGCCCUUACGCCCUGGGCUGCACACGUGCUACAAUGGUCGGUAUAAUAGGAAGCAAUACCGCAAGGUGGAGCAAAUCCUCAAAACCGGCCCCAGUUCGGAUUGGAGUCUGCAACUCGACUCCAUGAAGUUGGAUUCGCUAGUAACGGCGUAUCAGCUACGACGCCGUGAAUACGUUCCCGGGCCUUGUACACACCGCCCGUCACAUCAUGAAAGCCGUCUGCACCCGAAGUCACUGAUCCAACCCGCAAGGGGGGAAGGUGCCGAAGGUGUGGGUGGUGAUUGGGAUGAAGUCGUGAGGC